rnacentral:rRNA from 1 species
ACGUCCGUCGUGAAGAGGGAAACAACCCAGACCGCCAGCUAAGGUCCCAAAGUCAUGGUUAAGUGGGAAACGAAGUGGGAAGGCUCAGACAGCCAGGAUGUUGGCUUAGAAGCAGCCAUCAUUUAAAGAAAGCGUAAUAGCUCACUGGUCGAGUCGGCCCGCGCGGAAGAUGUAACGGGGCUAAACCAUGCACCGAAGCUGCGGCAGCGAACGUAUCACUUAAAUUUGUUUGAGUGAAUAACGAUUGACGGAACGAAGUGACGUCAAUGCGUUAAUGAAAGUCGAGGCGAAAGCACGACAAAGCGAAUUUAAGGAUACGUUCGUUGGGUAGGGGAGCGUUCUGUAAGCCUGCGAAGGUGUACUGUGAGGUAUGCUGGAGGUAUCAGAAGUGCGAAUGCUGACAUAAGUAACGAUAAUGCGGGUGAAAAACCCGCACGCCGGAAGACCAAGGGUUCCUGUCCAACGUUAAUCGGGGCAGGGUGAGUCGACCCCUAAGGCGAGGCUGAAAAGCGUAGUCGAUGGGAAACGGGUUAAUAUUCCCGUACUGGUGGUAACUGCGAUGGGGGAACGGAGAAGGCUAGGUUGUCCGGGCGACGGUCGUCCCGGUUCAAGCAGGUAGGCAGAGUGAUUAGGCAAAUCCGGUCACUUAAUGC